rnacentral:lncRNA from 1 species
CUGCAAGGGCUUUCAGCAGAGAUGGAACAGAUGUCUGUCUACACCCCACUCCUGUGACAAGAUAACUGGAGGUCGAUGGAAGAUACCUUCAGUCCUGCAUCCAACCAGUGGCAAAGCACACCAGAGGCACAGCAGCCUCCUACAGCAGACCCACACCACAUGAUCCCCUUGGCUGCAGGACAGCUGAAGGAGUGGUGGAAGACACCAGCCAAAGUCCAUGCAUGGGCCAGAGUCCUGGCUGCAAGAGAAGGCAUAGCAGGCCAUGGUGCUACCACCACCCCUCCAUCUCCACUCUAAUUAUUGCAGGAAAGAAAUUGAAGGCUCAGACAGAAUAAAUGGUCCUGGUCACGUCUAGUAAAGCAUGGGUCGCACAACCCAUCCAGGACUCAACGCUUGAGAGGUCUGGAGCUGCAGGAGUUCAGCCUACCCAGAGAUCAUUGUCAAUGUAAUUUAGUCAAGUGUCUCAACCAGGACGGAGCCUGGGAGGGGGCUUUGGCUGCUACCUUUAAGUUUGUUUGUUUGUUUGUUUGUUUGUUUGUUUUGUUUUUUCAAGACAGGGUUUCUCUGUAUAGCCCUGGCUGACCUGG